GCGCCAUUAGCUCAGUUGGUAGAGCAGCUGACUCUUAAUCAGCGGGUCGGAGGUUCGAGUCCUCCAUGGCGCA
rnacentral:tRNA from 1 species